rnacentral:rRNA from 1 species
UACGUAGGGGGCAAGCGUUGUCCGGAAUUAUUGGGCGUAAAGCGCGCGCAGGCGGCUAUUUAAGUCUGGUGUUUAAACCUUGGGCUCAACCUAAGGUCGCACUGGAAACUGGGUGGCUUGAGUACAGAAGAGGAAAGUGGAAUUCCACGUGUAGCGGUGAAAUGCGUAGAGAUGUGGAGGAACACCAGUGGCGAAGGCGACUUUCUGGGCUGUAACUGACGCUGAGGCGCGAAAGCGUGGGGAGCAAACA